GAUGAACGCUGGCGGCGUGCUUAACACAUGCAAGUCGAACGGAAAGGCCAGUGCUUGCACUGGUACUCGAGUGGCGAACGGGUGAGUAACACGUGGGUGAUCUGCCCUGUACUUCGGGAUAAGCUUGGGAAACUGGGUCUAAUACCGGAUAGGACAACUUUUUGGAUAUUGUUGUGGAAAGCUUUUGCGGUAUGGGAUGAGCUCGCGGCCUAUCAGCUUGUUGGUGGGGUAAUGGCCUACCAAGGCGUCGACGGGUAGCCGGCCUGAGAGGGUGUACGGCCACAUUGGGACUGAGAUACGGCCCAGACUCCUACGGGAGGCAGCAGUGGGGAAUAUUGCACAAUGGGCGCAAGCCUGAUGCAGCGACGCCGCGUGGGGGAUGAAGGCCUUCGGGUUGUAAACUCCUUUCGCUAGGGACGAAGCUUUUUUGUGACGGUACCUGGAGAAGAAGCACCGGCUAACUACG
rnacentral:rRNA from 1 species